GGUAAAGAAGAAAGUGGAGAAGUGCAGUUUUUUUUGGCAAAUUGAGCUGAAAGGAAGGUUUCAGAAGCUAAGAGCAACUUGGUACAGCAUCUAAUUAAGAGCUUGCAGACUUGAUGUUUUUGGCCUGGUAGAGUUGCCGAGCAAGAAUUUCAGCUGAGGAGAAGAGAAUUGAGCUGAGAGUAACUUGGGGAAGCUCUGAAUUCAGGAAUAGUGGACGCGCUCGGAAGUUCAAAUUGACAUUCCAACGAGCCUACGGCACGCUAAUAAGGAAAACCUCAUUUUAGCUUCGUUUGUCGCGAGCGAGGAUCGGGAUGGUUCAUAAAUUGCGGGAAGUGGAUUUCUCGCAUUCCGGUAUUAUUUAAAGCUCGUGCGGGGUGAUCGAGGAUCGUGGUAUGGACAGCGUUCCAUAGAUAGUGGACAUCCAUCGAGUAUAGUUGUACCUUAUUUAUUUCAUCUGUUUAUAGUUGAUGAAAGUAAAUGUAAAUUAUUCAUUUGAAAGAUGGCAAUAUAUGUAUUGGAAGAAUGAAUGUAAUAAUUAUGCAAGCUUUGUAUUUGAUUUAAA